rnacentral:rRNA from 1 species
ACAUGCAAGUCGAACGAGAAAGUGGAGCAAUCCAUGAGUAAAGUGGCGACCGGGUGAGUAACACGUGACCAAUCUACCCUUGAGUGGGGGAUAACCUCGGGAAACCGAGGCUAAUACCGCAUAAUAUCUUCGUGCAAACGAUGAUCAAAGGAGUAAUCCGCUUUUGGAGGGGGUCGCGGCUGAUUAGCUAGUUGGUAGGGUAAUGGCCUACCAAGGCGAAGAUCGGUAUCCGGCCUGAGAGGGCGCACGGACACACUGGAACUGAAACACGGUCCAGACUCCUACGGGAGGCAGCAGUGGGGAAUUUUGCGCAAUGGGGGAAACCCUGACGCAGCAACGCCGCGUGGAGGAUGAAGCCCCUUGGGGUGUAAACUCCUUUCGACCGGGAAAAUAAUGAUGGUACCGGUGGAAGAAGCACCGGCUAACUCUGUGCCAGCAGCCGCGGUAAUACAGAGGGUGCGAGCGUUGUUCGGAAUUAUUGGGCGUAAAGGGCGCGUAGGCGGUGUUGUAAGUCACCUGUGAAACCUCUAGGCUUAACCUAGAGCCUGCAGGCGAAACUGCAAUGCUGGAGGGUGGGAGAGGUGCGUGGAA